rnacentral:piRNA from 1 species
GCUGAUGAACCAACUGGGGAUAG